UGUGGUUGUUUACUUGAGUACAUAAGUGCGA
rnacentral:piRNA from 1 species